AGUGAACGCUGGCGGUAGGCCUAACACAUGCAAGUCGAACGGCAGCACAGUAAGAGCUUGCUCUUACGGGUGGCGAGUGGCGGACGGGUGAGGAAUACAUCGGAAUCUACUUUUUCGUGGGGGAUAACGUAGGGAAACUUACGCUAAUACCGCAUACGACCUACGGGUGAAAGCAGGGGAUCUUCGGACCUUGCGCGAUUGAAUGAGCCGAUGUCGGAUUAGCUAGUUGGCGGGGUAAAGGCCCACCAAGGCGACGAUCCGUAGCUGGUCUGAGAGGAUGAUCAGCCACCCUGGAACUGGGACACGGUCCAGACUCCUAAGGGAGGCAGCAGUGGGGAAUAUUGGACAAUGGGCGCAAGCCUGAUCCAGCCAUACCGCGUGGGUGAAGAAGGCCUUCGGGUUUUAAAGCCCUUUUGUUGGGAAAGAAAAGCAGCAGGUUAAUACCCCGCUGUUCUGACGGUACCCAAAGAAUAAGCACCGGCUAACUUCGUG
rnacentral:rRNA from 1 species